UGGGCGCAAGCCUGAUGCAGCCAUGCCGCGUGUAUGAAGAAGGCCUUCGGGUUGUAAAGUACUUUCAGUCGUGAGGAAGGCGGCGUCGUUAAUAGCGGCRUCGUUUGACGUUAGCGACAGAAGAAGCACCGGCUAACUCCGUGCCAGCAGCCGCGGUAAUACGGAGGGUGCGAGCGUUAAUCGGAAUUACUGGGCGUAAAGCGCAUGCAGGUGGUUUGUUAAGUCAGAUGUGAAAGCCCGGGGCUCAACCUCGGAAUAGCAUUUGAAACUGGCAGACUAGAGUACUGUAGAGGGGGGUAGAAUUUCAGGUGUAGCGGUGAAAUGCGUAGAGAUCUGAAGGAAUACCGGUGGCGAAGGCGGCCCCCUGGACAGAUACUGACACUCAGAUGCGAAAGCGUGGGGAGCAAACAGGAUUAGAUACCCUGGUAGUCCACGCCGUAAACGAUGUCUACUUGGAGGUUGUGGCCUUGAGCCGUGGCUUUCGGAGCUAACGCGUUAAGUAGACCGCCUGGGGAGUAC
rnacentral:rRNA from 1 species